CAGUAGCCGCGGUAAUACGUAGGGUGCAAGCGUUAAUCGGAAUUACUGGGCGUAAAGCGUGCGCAGGCGGUUAUAUAAGUCAGAUGUGAAAUCCCCAAGCUUAACUUGGGACGUGCAUUUGAAACUGGGUGACUAGAGUGUGUCAGAGGGAGGUAGGAUUCCACAUGUAGCGGUGGAAUGCGUAGAGAUGUGGAGGAAUACCGAUGGCGAAGGCAGCCUCCUGGGAUAACACUGACGUUGAGGCUCGAAAGCGUGGGGAGCAAACAGGAUUAGAUACCCGUGUAGUCCCUGUCUCUUAUAC
rnacentral:rRNA from 1 species